GCUUGUCUCAAAGAUUAAGCCAUGCAUGUCUAAGUAUAAACAAGUUUAUACGGUGAAACUGCGUACAGCUCAUUAUAUCAGUUAUGAUUUAUUUGAUGGUACCUUACUACAUGGAUACCCGUAGUAAUUCUAGAGCUAAUACAUGCGUAAAAUCCCGACUACUUGUUGGAAGGGAUGUAUUUAUUAGAUUCAAACCCAAUGCAGUAGCAAUACUGGUUCAAUUGGUGACUCAUAGUAACUUGUCGAAUCGCAUGGCCUUGUGCUGGCGAUAGUUCAUUCAAAUUUCUGCCCUAUCAGCUUUCGAUGGUAGUGUAGUGGACUACCAUGGCUUUAACGGGUGACGGAGAAUUAGGGUUCGAUUCCGGAGAGGGAGCCUGAGAAACGGCUACCACAUCCAAGGAAGGCAGCAGG
rnacentral:rRNA from 1 species